GAUGAACGCUAGCGGAAGGCAUAAUACAUGCAAGUCGAACGGAUGUAGCAAUACAUUAGUGGCGCACGGGUGCGUAACGCGUAUGCAACCUACCUUCAUCAGGGGGAUAACUACCCGAAAGGGUGGCUAACACCGCAUAAUACUAUUGAGUGGCAUCACUUGGUAUUUAAAUCUGAGGAGGAUGAAGAUGGGCAUGCGUCUGAUUAGCUAGUUGGUGUGGUAACGGCGCACACAGGCGACGAUCAGUAGGGGAACUGAGAGGUUGGUCCCCCACACGGGCACUGAGGUACGGGCCAGGCUCCGACGGGAGGCAGCAGUAGGGAAUAUUGGUCAAAGGUGGGAACACUGAACCAGCCAUUCCGCGCGCAGGAAGAAGGGUCUCUGACUUGUAAACUGCUUUAGCAAGGGAAGAAAAAGCUCAUGCGUGAGAAAUUGACGGUACCGUAAGAAUAAGCACCGGCUAACUACGUGCCAGCCGCCGCGGUAACAC
rnacentral:rRNA from 1 species